CUACGAGAGAAACAAACAAAAAAGCUCAGACACUCCAAUAAAACCAACAAGAAGAUGGUUCCUGUGGUGAAAGACUCUUGAGCCACUAAGACAUGAUGAGCAGCCAAUGARCAUCUCUACUCUCUGAUUGGGAACUGAGAAAUGGGCUACAACAAAGUGAACUACUGUGAAAUCAGGCGUAGAACCUCAUCUGCAUCAAUUUACCAGCUAUGCCUUCCUGCUCUUUCUAUCAGAGGACUGCUGAGACACAGAAACAGCAGACACUGCUCUGCAUUGGGCACUGUCCUGAAACAGCUCAAUGGUGCRCUUGAAAACUGAUGUAUGCCUAUUUGAAGGAGGACAAACAAAACAACAACCCAGCACCCAAGUCAAGCAAAAGACUUUCUGAUACCAUUACAGACUACUAUUUACCAAAUUUCACUUUUUGGAAUUGAAGCAGUCAUUAGGUACAGUUUUAUUUUGUCAUUAUUGAUUUGCAUUGGUUUUGUUUUGCUUCUUUUGCUUUUAAACAUUUUUAGAUAAACGGACUAGACUGUGGUUUAUAAAUAAGCCUGCUCAUAGGCUGGUCAUGGUUUUCCUUCCAAUUUUUAGCCCAGAGAGGACUUCUGUGGCUGAGUUACAAACCCCUGAACAGAAGGGUUCAAAGAUGAAAUAGUGAUGUAAGCCAUGGCUGUUCAAAUCUCCCAC